rnacentral:rRNA from 1 species
GAUGAACGCUAGCGGCAGGCUUAAUACAUGCAAGUCGAGGGACAGCACAGGUAGCAAUACUGGGUGGUAACCGGCAAACGGGUGCGGAACACGUACACAACCUUCCUUUAAGUGGGGGAUAGCCCAGAGAAAUUUGGAUUAAUACCCCGUAAUAUAGUUGAAUGGCAUCAUUUGAUUAUUAUAGCUACGGCGCUUAAUGAUGGGUGUGCGGCUGAUUAGAUAGUUGGCGGGGUAACGGCCCACCAAGUCUACGAUCAGUAGCUGAUGUGAGAGCAUGAUCAGCCACACGGGCACUGAGACACGGGCCCGACUCCUACGGGAGGCAGCAGUAAGGAAUAUUGGUCAAUGAACGCAAGUCUGAACCAGCCAUGCCGCGUGAAGGAUUAAGGUCCUCUGGAUUGUAAACUUCUUUUAUUUGGGACGAAAAAGGGCCUUUCUAGGUCAACUGACGGUACCAGAUGAAUAAGCACCGGCUAACUCCGUGCCAGCAGCCGCCGUAAAAC